rnacentral:rRNA from 1 species
UACGGGGGGGGCAAGCGUUGUUCGGAAUUACUGGGCGUAAAGGGCUCGUAGGCGGCCAACUAAGUCGGACGUGAAAUCCCCAGGCUCAACCCUGGGAACUGCGUCCGAUACUGGAUGGCUUGAAUCCGGGAGAGGGAUGCAGAAUUCCAGGUGUAGCGGUGAAAUGCGUAGAUAUCUGGAGGAAUACCGGUGGCGAAGGCGGCAUCCUGGACCGGCAUUGACGCUGAGGAGCGAAAGCCAGGGGAGCAAAGCGGGG